CCCUGCUUCUGUGGGGUGCUCGAGUGGCGAACGGGUGAGUAACACGUGAGUAACCUGCCCUUGACUUUGGGAUAACUUCAGGAAACUGGGGCUAAUACCGGAUAGGAGCUCCUGCUGCAUGGUGGGGGUUGGAAAGUUUCGGCGGUUGGGGAUGGACUCGCGGCUUAUCAGCUUGUUGGUGGGGUAGUGGCUUACCAAGGCUUUGACGGGUAGCCGGCCUGAGAGGGUGACCGGCCACAUUGGGACUGAGAUACGGCCCAGACUCCUACGGGAGGCAGCAGUGGGGAAUAUUGCACAAUGGGCGGAAGCCUGAUGCAGCAACGCCGCGUGCGGGAUGACGGCCUUCGGGUUGUAAACCGCUUUCGCCUGUGACGAAGCGUGAGUGACGGUAAUGGGUAAAGAAGCACCGGCUAACUACGUGCCAGCAGCCGCGGUGAUACGUAGGGUGCGAGCGUUGUCCGGAUUUAUUGGGCGUAAAGGGCUCGUAGGUGGUUGAUCGCGUCGGAAGUGUAAUCUUGGGGCUUAACCCUGAGCGUGCUUUCGAUACGGGUUGACUUGAGGAAGGUAGGGGAGAAUGGAAUUCCUGGUGGAGCGGUGGAAUGCGCAGAUAUCAGGAGGAACACCAGUGGCGAAGGCGGUUCUCUGGGCCUUUCCUGACGCUGAGGAGCGAAAGCGUGGGGAGCGAACAGGCUUAGAUACCCUGGUAGUCCACGCUGUAAACGGUGGGUACUAGGUGUGGGGUCCAUUCCACGGGUUCCGUGCCGUAGCUAACGCUUUAAGUACCCCGCCUGGGGAGUACGGCCGCAAGGCUAAAACUCAAAGGAAUUGACGGGGCCCCGCACAAGCGGCGGAGCAUGCGGAUUAAUUCGAUGCAACGCGUAGAACCUUACCUGGGUUUGACAUGGAUCGGGAGUGCUCAAAGAUGGGUGUGCCUCUUUUGGGGUCGGUUCACAGGUGGUGCAUGGCUGUCGUCAGCUCGUGUCGUGAGAUGUUGGGUUAAGUCCCGCAACGAGCGCAACCCUUGUUCACUGUUGCCAGCACGUUAUGGUGGGGACUCAGUGGAGACCGCCGGGGUCAAC
rnacentral:rRNA from 1 species